UAGAGUGGGUGUGCCUCUUUCCACCUUCCAGCUCCUCCUUAUUCUCUGUGGUCGCUUACCGGAUGCUCAGGGUCAAGGUUGUUAUGAAGGGAAAGCGAGAUAGCGUGAAGGAAAAGGGGGAUGCAGACAGCCUCAGUCCAACACACCCCUGAAGAAUUCUUUCUAGAGGGCAGAAGGUGGAUUGUGUUACCACCUUUCGUCUCCUCCACGAUGUGAAGCUGCAAGCAAAAGCACAGAGGAAUGAAUUCCCUCUGAAACCCAGAGAAUGAGGAAGGCAGGAAAUAAUUCAGCAGCAGCUCCAGCAGCAGCAUCGACAUCAACCGCGGUGGCAGCAGUGAGCGUGAGAGAGACAGAGAGAGAGGGAGUGUGUGUGAGGUUGUGUGUGAGAGCUUGAGUGAAAGCGAGUUCCUAUGCACUGUGCCGAGCGAAGCUGAGCUGUGCCGUCGCGUGGCAAGCUGUGUGUUCCCGCUUGGUUCCCGUGCGCUCUGGUGAGGCAGAGCUUACAGAAGGGGAGAGAUGUGGCUUCACUCGGAGCUCCAGCAUCAGUGAAGACCAGCACCCAGCCGGGGCAUCACAGAGAAGCAUGGUAGGACUAGAGACCCACUGCUGACACCAGCGUGACUGAUGAUGACAGCCCACGCGUGGGUUACCAUGCGCCACAGCCGCGCUGCUCUAGGAGGAAACACAGCCAUGUGAAAGUGACUUGACUGCCAGAAACUCUUGGACAUGUUUUCCAGGGCAAAGUCUGGAUUUCUUUCUGUGUUUGAACUUGUUUUUUUUCUCUUGGUGCUGUCUGGCUGUCCCGA